CCGUAGAGAACUUCUCUGCAGAUAAUAUUCAAAUUUACUUUAUUUUGGCAUCGUUUCAAAGAAGCUGGAGGUACAAUGCAAACAGCUGGACUGUGAGCUGCUUAACAUCUCUGAGCCAUCUCUGAGGUUUGGAGAGGAAAAGACCAAGAAAGAAGUCUGCACUGUACCCCUUCAAGCUAGAAUACCUUUCAACAUGUGCUGAAAAAAUGCAGAGGAGCAGAUGCAAUUCCCUGCUUCCAUUUGGAUUUCACAUGGCAUUGCGCUACUGGAACAAAACCUAGGACUGUUAAUGUUUUCUGACAAUGAUCUACGUCUACACCAGUUGACUUGAGAAACCACUAGAAACCAUUUUGUCAAUGUUAAAUAUCC